rnacentral:rRNA from 1 species
AACGAACGCUGGCGGCAUGCCUAACACAUGCAAGUCGAACGAGACCUUCGGGUCUAGUGGCGCACGGGUGCGUAACGCGUGGGAACCUGAACUUAGGUUCGGAAUAACUACCAGAAAGGGGUGAUAAUACCGGAUAAUGUCUACGGACCAAAGAUUUAUCGCCUUUGGAUGGGCCCGCGUUGGAUUAGCUAGUUGGUAGGGUAAAAGCCUACCAAGGCGACGAUCCAUAGCUGGUCUGAGAGGAGGAUCAGCCACACUGGGACUGAGACACGGCCCAGACUCCUCCGGGAGGCAGCAGUGGGGAAUAUUGGACAAUGGGCGAAAGCCUGAUCCAGCAAGGCCGCGUGAGUGAUGAAGGCCUUAGGGUUGUAAAGCUCUUUUACCCGGGAUGAUAAGGACAGUACCGGGAGAAUAAGCUCCGGCUAACUCCGG